GCGCAUUGAAUACCGAAUUAGGGUUCCUAUUUCUUCCGCGAACAGCCAGUAGCAUGUGGUGUGACACCUCGCACCCUUCUUCCUCUUUUCUUCUCGAUCGAUCUCUGGACAGCGUUACAGCUUGUAUAUUUGGUAUUUAUCAUGAUUUGCUUCUCUCACUUCUUCUGUGCUCAUGGAUUAGGCUAAAUUCCGCGGCGGCGCUAGAUUGUCGUCCCCUUCAUCAUGGCGGAUUGGCUGACCAUAAUCCUUUAUUGGAAGAAAACUGUGCAUAGAAGUAACUCCUGGCUCAAAAAUUGCUUUUAUUUCUGAGGAGUUAUGCAUUGGAUGUCAUAUUUGUGUUAAGAAAUGCCCAUUUGAGGCGAUUCAGAUUAUCAAUCAUUCAAUCUACCAAAGGAUUUAGAUAAAGAUACAACCUACCGGUAUGGUCCAAAUAUAUUUAAAUUGCACAGGUUGCCAGUUCCAAGACCUGGACGGGUUCUGGGUCUGGUUGGGACAAAUGGUAUUGGAAAGUCAACUGCACUUAAAGUGUUGGCUGGGAAGUUGAAGCCUAACUUGAGACGAUUCAAUAACCCUCCUGAUUGGCAGGAAAUAUUGAUGUAUAUCCGUGGCUCUGAGCUUCAGAAUUAGUUUACUCGUAUACUGGAAGACAAUCUAAAGGUUGUACUGGAUCUACAUAGCCUCUGCAACCUAAAACUGAACCAUGAUUAUUCACCAGGCAAAGCUAAAGGAAAGUGAAGCUGCUGCAAUCUACAAAGGAAUAUGUUGGUGGCCAGAUGCAGACAAGCCAUAGGAGUGCUAAAAGGGAGAGAGAGAGAGAGAGAGAGAGGACUGCCCAUGGCUGCCUCUAUUCAAUCCCAAUAAUCCAAUGUCAGCUUACAAAUGCUGCUUCUACUGAAGAUUGUGACUAAUUGUUCUAAAUUGUUUUGGUAUAAAUUGCCACUGAUUGUUCUAAA